UUCUGAAAUGGAAAGGAAUGCUAACAAAGUAGGUUAAACAUUUACAAUAUGCCUACAGGAGAGAAUCUGCUAGCAUAAAAUCUCUGGCUCUUUGCUGCAGAACCAGAACAGAAUGGAAUGUCCUGCGUUGUCUAGGCGACAAGGUUCCUUGGAACAGAGCUGGCUACUGGUGCAGAGGCACUAAGAAAUGAAAGCAGUUGCUGACGUCUUGGAAUAUUCUAUUCAAAGCUUUAAUUGACAAGAUUUAUAAAAUGACUUAAUUUUUCCAGGUUUCUUGAAAUGGUAACCUUUUGAAGACAUUCUCCAGUGCUUACAUCCCACAGGCACAGUGUAUUGUCCCGAGAACCAGUACAUAUCUGUGAAGAAUCUAUAAAUGGUUUUGAAAAGAUCAUAAUUUUAAAUGGAAUUUAGGAAAGCACACUCAAAAGGAAAAGCUCUGCAGGUUAGAAACAGGUUUAAUGUAAGCUUCACCUGGAUUCACAGCUAAUCCAGUAACAACCAUAUCAUGGCCUGGAAACUGUUGUGCUGGUUGUAAAUUUCCAUUAAACUCCCACAUUAUUGCUGUCUUGUCA